rnacentral:lncRNA from 1 species
GUUGGGUUGGUAUGUCAUAUAUGCUUCUAGGUGUUAUUUAUUGUACAACAUGCCAAUUAUCUCGAUACUUUAGAUCUUUCAAAUAUAUUACUUAUUUUGCUUGAGUUGCUAAUAUAUAUGGCUCAUUCUGGUACCAUGUUCGUACAAAAUUUACACUGAUAAAGUGUGAGUCGAUAUGAAUAUCAAUCUUUUUAUUACUAAUAUCCCACCAUUCAUAUUGAAACAAGAAUACAAAAUUACUGGAC